UUGUUAGGGAAUAGAGAUCUAUAAUGGACAUAUGCCCGAAUACUCGAACGUCAGUCAAAUAUAGCCGUUAGUUAAGUCUAACUUAAAGAUAAGCAUUGCUCAAAUAUAACUGGAAUACUGAAACGCCAGUUAAUUCAAAUUAAGUUGUAGUUAGCUGAGCAGCCGUUAAAUGUUUGCUUUAUGGCAACAUUCUGUACAAUAAGCAUGUUCUCGAUUACAGAAUAAAUUAUAUAUUCGUUUCACGCAGCGUGAUUUGAUCAAAAAACUAAUUCGAUAAUAAUUGAUGUACUAAAAUUGAAAUAAUUUGGCCGUAAUAAAUUUUAUUACAUUCUUGUACAUAUUUUACUAAUAUAUAUCAUAAUAAAAAAAUUAUUUUUAAGUACCUACACCCAAUUAUAAUAUUAAGUUAAAACAUAAAUUAUUACGACUAGAUUAUCGUGUGGUGAAACGUAAAAGUCAAUUGACUUUGACAUAAUUGAAUGACACGAUGCGCGCAUUGGAUGCGCGAAAUUGUCUCCUGCUUAAAAUUUUAUUGUUCAUUAUUAUAAUUCGAUUUUUGUUAUGGAAGAAUAAAAGAAGCGUGGGUCCAAUUAUACGAUCGCUGAAAAUGAUAUCCUUUUAGAGCUGAUCAAGAAAUAUAAUUAUAGUAUAGGGAGCACGGUGUCCAACGAUACAAGACACUCCCAUCCCAUCGCCGCCUAUAGUGUUAUAGUUAUAAUAAUAAAACUAUUUUAAUAUGAUUG